rnacentral:rRNA from 1 species
UACGAAGGGGGCUAGCGUUGCUCGGAAUGACUGGGCGUAAAGGGCGCGUAGGCGGGUUGGCAAGUCAGUCGUGAAAUCUCUCGGCUCAACCGAGAAACGUCGGCUGAUACUGCCGUUCUUGAGGGAUGCAGAGGAGACUGGAAUUCCCGGUGUAGCGGUGAAAUGUGUAGAGAUCGGGAGGAACACCGGUGGCGAAGGCGGGUCUCUGGGCAUCUCCUGACGCUGAGGCGCGAAAGCGUGGGGAGCAAACGGG